AUCUCUGUUGAACAGAACCAGACCCUCUGGGGCUGGUGGGACCCUAAAGGCGACGUCUGCCUUUGUUUGCAGGUGGAAGGAAGCUGGGAGAGAUGGCUGGGAAAGACUCUGAGCUGGAGAAAGGCCUCCAUGCCAUUGUGGGCAGCUUCUACAAAUACGCCAAGGGCCCGCCCGGAGCCAAGGCACAGGACCAGGCGGCUUUCCAGAAGUUGCUCAGCAAUGAGCUGAGCCAUCAGCUCACGGACGUGCAGAGCAGAGAGGCGGGGAAGGACCUUUUGAAGAAGCUGGAUACAGACAACAAUCAGCUCAUCUCCUUUGAGGAAUACUGGGAGCUGAUCGCCUUCAUCUGCCACACCAUCCAGUGUUACAGUUACAGCAAAUAGUGACCGUUGAGCAGAGGCCAGUGGGGAAACUGAGGCAGGCUCCUUCCUGGGUGACUGCAUCAAAGCUUUCACCGCCAGAAGUUAAAGCAAACCUUUCCCUGGCCCCUCACUCCUUCCCCCCACUCCCCGCAGCCUAUAAACCCAUUUGCCCUAUGUCAUAAACAGAUAGUUAAGGGUUAAUGUCUCUUUUACCUGUAAAGGGUUAAGAAGCUCAGUAAACCUGGCUGACAUUUGACCAGAGGACCAAUGGGGGACAAGAUACUUUCAAAUCUUGGUGGGGGGGAGUCUUUUGUUUGUGCUCUUUGUUUUGGGGGUUGUUCGCUCUUGGGACUAAGAGGGACCAGACGUCAAUCCAGGCUCUCCAAAUCUUUCUGAACCAGUCUCUCAUGUUUCAAACUUGUAAGUAACAGCCAGGCAAGGCAGGUUAGUCUUAUUUUUGUUUUCUCAACUUGUAAAUGUCCUAUUUUGCUGAGAGGAUUUUACUUCUGUUUGCUGUAACUUUGAACCUAAGGCUAGAGGGGGUUUCCUCUGGGCUAUACGAAUUUGAUUACCCUGUAAAGUAUUUUCCAUCCUGAU
rnacentral:lncRNA from 1 species